rnacentral:rRNA from 1 species
AUACGGAGGGUGCGAGCGUUAAUCGGAAUUACUGGGCGUAAAGCGUACGUAGGCGGUUGGUUAAGUUAGAUGUUAAAGCCCCGGGCUUAACCUGGGAACUGCAUUUAAAACUGGCGAACUUGAGUUGAGUAGAGGGGAGUGGAAUUUCAGGUGUAGCGGUGAAAUGCGUAGAGAUCUGAAGGAACACCAGUGGCGAAGGCGACUCCCUGGACUCGAACUGACGCUGAGGUACGAAAGCGUGGGUAGCAAACGGGAUUAGAAACCCUAGUAGUCC